GACUUAACAUUAUUAUUAUUAUUAUUAUUAUUUUGUGUACCAUACCACGCCUCAUUUUCCUUUAAACAAAACUCCUUCACAUCAUCAUCCUCGUCAUCGCCACCGUCUGAACAUUUCUCCCACUUGUCUUCGUUACCGUGUACUUUCCGGCAGGACAACCAAUCUGCUUCUGUUCAGCUGGAUUCUAAUUUAAUUAGUUACCGGGCAAGUAAAUAUUCUGUUUUCUUAUUUAAUUUUAUUCUUGUUCGUUGUUAAUUUAGCUGGCUGGAGUUGACUGCUUGAGUUUGGGCGUAAUGCUUUUGGGGUUUGUACACUGGAUUUUGGAGGAAGUAUAUACGUGAUUUAAGGAAUACUGGCAUGUGGGUUGCUCUUAAUUGGAACCAUGGGUGUGUGGGUGUACUGUUUUUGGACUUUUGGGGAAGAAGUGAAGCUGAUUAGGUGAAUUUUUCAGUUACUGCUUUUUUCUGGGGUUUAAUUAAAGCUCUGAUCUUUUAAGGGGAGUGGGUUUUCUUUUCUGGGAUUUUAUAUCACGGUCGGUUCAGUUUGUGAAUUUGGAUCUUUUGGGUAUCUUGGCUUGAUCCAUGGAGGCCAGAUUUGGAGUUGAAAGUGAAGCUCAAGCUCAUCAUUUCUAUGGCACGGGUGCCACAGAAAUGCGGGCAGUGGGGAAGAGGAGUUUAGAGUGGGAUUUGAAUGAUUGGAAAUGGGAUGGUGAUCUUUUCAUUGCUAGCCCUUUGAAUCCUGUACCAUCUGGGGGCAUGGGUAGGCAAUUUUUCCCUGUUGCAACAGGUAUUCCAGUGAAUGGGAAUUCGUCGAAUAGUUCAUCCUCCUGCUCUGAUGAAGUGAAUCUUGUAAUUGAGAAAGGAAGGAGGGAAUUAGAGAAAAGGAGAAGGGUCAUUGUUAUUGAAGAUGAUAAUUUGGAUGGUGAAGAAGUGGGUAGCCUUAGUUUGAAGCUUGGUGGCCAGGGUUAUCCAAUUAGCGAAAAGGAGAUGAGAAGUUGGGAGGGAAACAGUGGAAAGAGGACCAAAUUGGCUGGGGGUAGCAUGAGCCGCGCAGUUUGUCAAGUGGAGGACUGUGGUGCUGAUCUGAGUAAUGCCAAG
rnacentral:misc_RNA from 1 species